UACGUAGGGAGCAAGCGUUGUCCGGAAUCAUUGGGCGUAAAGCGCGCGUAGGCGGCCUCGUAAGUCCGUUGUGAAAGUCAAAGGCUCAACCUUUGAAAGCCGAUGGAUACUGUGAGGCUAGAGUCCGGAAGAGGCGAGUGGAAUUCCUGGUGUAGCGGUGGAAUGCGCAGAUAUCAGGAGGAACACCAAUAGCGAAGGCAGCUCGCUGGGACGGUACUGACGCUAAGGCGCGAAAGCUAGGGGAGCGAACAGG
rnacentral:rRNA from 1 species